AUACGUAGGUGGCAAGCGUUGUCCGGAUUUACUGGGCGUAAAGGAUGCGUAGGCGGAUUUUUAAGUGGGAUGUGAAAUACCCGAGCUCAACUUGGGUGCUGCAUUCCAAACUGGAAGUCUAGAGUGCGGGAGAGGAGAGUGGAAUUCCUAGUGUAGCGGUGAAAUGCGUAGAGAUUAGGAAGAACACCAGUGGCGAAGGCGACUCUCUGGACCGUAACUGACGCUGAGGCAUGAAAGCGUGGGGAGCAAACAGGAUUAGAUACCCUGGUAGUCCACGCCGUAAACGAUGGGGACUAGGUGUGGGAGGUAUCGACCCCUUCCGUGCCGCCGUUAACACAAUAAGUACCCCGCCUGGGGAGUACGGUCGCAAGAUUAAA
rnacentral:rRNA from 1 species